rnacentral:lncRNA from 1 species
GCUGUAUUCCUGGUUGUCCCAGAAACCUAUCCGUGCAGCCGCUUGGCGUGAUUUAACUGAGCUAUGGGAAGCAUGCAGUCUGACUCCUUCAUUCAGUACCCUAUACUGUGCUUUCCUCGUCAGCAAAAUGAUAAUCCCCACUGCGCUGAGCGCUAUCCAAGAGAGUGGGGAGCCUCAUCUCAUUUUGAGCAUGGUGUCCAGCACAUUCCAGGAGCCCGGUAUACCCCAGGUGCCUACUGAAAAAGUCAUUUUACCUAGAUGUCAAACUCUCCCUGUAAAACUCACCAUGUCCUCCUUGGCUUUUGUCUUCGUGGGCACCAGGGGCAGCAAGGUUUCCUGAGUGAGAUCUCUAUAAUGGAGGCAGACUUCAGGCCCUCAAGUCAGACGUGUCCGGCUCAUGAAACUCUACCCCCAGCCCACCAAUUCUCUUCCCCAGGGCUCCGAAGAUUUCUUCUGUAGUGGACCAAGAAGUCAUGUCCUGAAGCUCUGUGAGCCGGGCAACCAUCACGACGCGAAUGCAACCCAAGGCCAGCGAUAAGCUCAACCCACUGCAGGAGUCUGCAAAUGAAUAAAAAUCAGACGUGGUGGGAGAAUCCUGUAAGGGUGGCACUCAAGAGAUGGAGGCUGCCAGGCCUUUAGGUGGAUCUCUGUGAGUUCGAAGUCAGCCUGGUCUACAGAGCGAGUUCCAGGACAGCCAGGGCUACACAGAGGAACCCUGUCUCAAAAAACAAACAAACAAACAAACAAACAAACAAACUCAGCCAACCAACCAACCAAAACAAAACAAAACACAAACACAAAAGAGAUGGAGGGAAGAGGAUUAGAAGUUUAUACGCUUAGCUGUAUAGCACGACCUUGUUUUUUUUCUCUCUCUCUCUCUCUCUCUCUCUAGCUCAUGCUGGGUUAGUACUCUGUAGCCCAAGGUGGCCUUGAACAUGUGACCAUCUUCCUCUUUUACCUUCCUGAGAGAUGGGACCCAUGAACCUUCAUGGCUGACUUCCUCUCUCUCUCUCUCUCUCUCUCCCUCCCUCCCUCCCUCUCUCUCUCUCUUUCUUCUUUUAAAAUGUGCAUCAGUGUUUUUCCUGCUUGUAUGUCUCUAAGUGAAGGUGUCAGAUCUUGGAGUUAUAGACAAGACAGUGGUGAGUUGCCAUGUGGUUGCUGGGAAUUGAACCUGGGUCCUCUGGAAGAGCAGUCAGUGCUCUCAACCACUGAGCCAUCUCUCCAGCCUCUUUCUUUUCUUACAACAGGGUCUAACAUACUCGUAUUGGAUUGAACUCAUCAUGAGGCUGAGACUGAUGUCACUGUGACUGGUCAUCAUGCCUGGUUUUCUAUUCUUGUUUCUUUCAGUCCUUUGAAGUUUUGUUUCUGGACUUCAUUCGCAGGCCAGGUAUUGACAACAGCUUCUCAGCUUCCCUUAUCCACCAUUUUAGAACAUUACAUUUUUACUUAUUUUGAUUCUGUGAGUAGGGAUGGGAAGGGGUGCCUGUGAGGGUUCUCUCCAUCCACCGUGUGGGCCUGGGGAGGGGAGGGGUGUGGAACUCAGGCUUCAGAUUUGGCAGUGCGUCCCUUUAACUGAUGAACCAUCUGGCUGGG